rnacentral:lncRNA from 1 species
AAUUAAUGUUAGUCACUGUUGUCUUUUUUGUUUUUGUUUUUUUUUUUUUUUUUUGAGGCGGAGUCUCGCUCUUUCGCCCAGGCCGGACUGCAGUGGCGCUAUCUCGGCUCACUGCAAGCUCCGCCUCCCGGGUUGACGCCAUUCUCCUGCCUCAGCCUCCUGAGUAGUUGGGAUUACAGGCGCCCGCCACCGCGCCUGGCUAAUUUUUUGUAUGUUUAGUAGAGACGGGGUUUCACCGUGUUAGCCAAGAUGGUCUCGAUCUCCUGACCUCGUGAUCCGCCUGCCUCGGCCUCCGGCCUCCCAAAGUGCUGGGAUUACAGGCGUGAGCCACCGCGCCCGGCCCUCACUGUUGUCUUUUAAGUAGUGAAACAGGAAUGUCUCUCUGAUCAGAAAGCACAAUUAAGAUUCUGCAGAAAAGGAAAUCCAGCUCGGUGCCACCAAUCUGUACUAGGAAUGAAGAUUUGUUACCUGUCCUGCUGACGUCAGACCCAGCACCAGGUGCAGAAGCAACCAUCAUACAAAAAUCAAGCUUCCUUAAUUAUCCUCUGAAGAGUCCCUACCAGCAAGAAGGCUCUCACCAGACGUGGCCCUUUGACCUUGGAUUUCUCAGCCUUCAAAACUGGACAAUUGGUCGUUAUGUGGCAGUCAGACAGCAUAGAGCAGGAGGUCUACAUCUUUCCUGCGACAAGCCUUCAGAGACUCUUCUUAUGUCUGAAGAAGUAUCUGUUUCAAGUUGUUUAAGCUUAGUGAGAUGGACUUUUUUGCUAAAGAGUUCCAGUGGUACAGAAAUCAGGAACAGAGAAGAG